GCCGUUAUGCGUGAUGUCACGCACUCAUUAGCUAGAUCCCGAGAGGCGCUGCGAGUUAAAAAAUACAUGUGCUCGAUCGAAGUGGAGAAUCGUUUCAACGCCCGUUUAACGUCAUCGUUUAUAUUAUAAGGACACAAACUUUUCGAAACCGUACAACGUUCGUUCAAGAUUGUAAAGUCCAUUUCAUAAUUACAAGUACGCGUGUUCAAGUU